rnacentral:rRNA from 1 species
CGGGCGAGCUGCCGGUUUAAGUCCCUUGGAACGGGGCGUCAUAGAGGGUGAGAAUCCCGUAUGUGACCGGUCAUCGAGCCCAUGUGAAACUCCUUCGACGAGUCGAGUUGUUUGGGAAUGCAGCUCAAAAUGGGUGGUAAAUUUCAUCUAAAGCUAAAUACUGGCCAGAGACCGAUAGCGCACAAGUAGAGUGAUCGAAAGAUGAAAAGCACUUUGGAAAGAGAGUCAAAAAGUACGUGAAAUUGUUGAAAGGGAAGCGCUUGCAACCAGACCUGUCCGUGGGCGAUCAGCCGUCCUUCUCUGGGCGGUGCACUCACCCGCGAUCAGGCCAGCAUCGGUUCGGGCGGCCGGACAAAGGCCUCGGGAACGUAGCUCCUCUCGGGGAGUGUUAUAGCCCUUGGUGCAAUGCGGCCAGCCUGGACCGAGGACCGCGCUUCGGCUAGGAUGCUGGCGUAAUGGUUGUAAGCGGCCCGUCUUGAAACACGGACCAAGGAGUCUAACAUCUAUGCGAGUGUUUGGGUGUUAAACCCAUACGCGUAAUGAAAGUGAACGGAGGUGGGAACCCCCAGAGGGCGCACCAUCGACCGAUCCUGAUGUCUUCGGAUGGAUUUGAGUACGAGCAUAGCUGUUGGGACCCGAAAGAUGGUGAACUAUGCCUGAAUAGGGUGAAGCCAGAGGAAACUCUGGUGGAGGCUCGCAGCGGUUCUGACGUGCAAAUCGAUCGUCAAAUUUGGGUAUAGGGGCGAAAGACUAAUCGAACCAUU